CGGACGGGUGAGUAAUGUCUGGGAAACUGCCUGAUGGAGGGGGAUAACUACUGGAAACGGUAGCUAAUACCGCAUAACGUCGCAAGACCAAAGAGGGGGACCUUAGGGCCUCUUGCCAUCGGAUGUGCCCAGAUGGGAUUAGCUAGUAGGUGGGGUAACGGCUCACCUAGGCGACGAUCCUUAGCUGGUCUGAGAGGAUGACCAGCCACACUGGAACUGAGACACGGUCCAG
rnacentral:rRNA from 1 species